AUUGAACGCUGGCGGCAGGCCUAACACAUGCAAGUCGAACGGUAACAGGAAGAAGCUUGCUUCUUUGCCGACGAGUGGCGGACGGGUGAGUAAUGUCUGGGAAACUGCCUGAUGGAGGGGGAUAACUACUGGAAACGGUAGCUAAUACCGCAUAACGUUGCAAGACCAAAGAGGGGGACCUUCGGGCCUCUUGCCAUCGGAUGUGCCCAGAUGGGAUUAGCUAGUAGGUGGGGUAACGGCUCACCUAGGCGACGAUCCCUAGCUGGUCUGAGAGGAUGACCAGCCACACUGGAACUGAGACACGGUCCAGACUCCUACGGGAGGCAGCAGUGGGGAAUAUUGCACAAUGGGCGCAAGCCUGAUGCAGCCAUGCCGCGUGUAUGAAGUAGGCCUUCGGGUUGUAAAGUACUUUCAGCGGGGAGGAAGGGAGUAAAGUUAAUACCUUUGCUCAUUGACGUUACCCGCAGAAGAAGCACCGGCUAACUCCGUGCCAGCAGCCGCAGUAA
rnacentral:rRNA from 1 species